rnacentral:rRNA from 1 species
GACGAACGCUGGCGGCGUGCUUAACACAUGCAAGUCGAACGGAAAGGCCCUGCUUUUGUGGGGUGCUCGAGUGGCGAACGGGUGAGUAACACGUGAGUAACCUGCCCUUGACUUUGGGAUAACUUCAGGAAACUGGGGCUAAUACCGGAUAGGAGCUCCUGCUGCAUGGUGGGGGUUGGAAAGUUUCGGCGGUUGGGGAUGGACUCGCGGCUGAUCAGCUUGUUGGUGGGGUAGUGGCUUACCAAGGCUUUGACGGGUAGCCGGCCUGAGAGGGUGACCGGCCACAUUGGGACUGAGAGACGGCCCAGACUCCUACGGGAGGCAGCAGUGGGGAAUAUUGCACAAUGGGCGGAAGUCUGAUGCAGCAACGCCGCGUUCGGGAUGACGGCCUUCGGGUUGUAAACCGCUUUCGCCUGUGACGAAGCGUGAGUGACGGUAAUGGGUAAAGAAGCACCGGCUAACUACGUG